rnacentral:rRNA from 1 species
CAGCCGCCGCGGGAAUACGAAGGGGGCUAGCGUUGCUCGGAAUUACUGGGCGUAAAGGGAGCGUAGGCGGAUCGUUAAGUUGGGGGUGAAAGCCCGGGGCUCAACCUCGGAAUUGCCUUCAAUACUGGCGAUCUUGAGUAUGGAAGAGGUAUGUGGAACUCCGAGUGUAGAGGUGAAAUUCGUAGAUAUCAGGAGGAACACCUGUGGCGAAAGCGGCUCACUGGACCAUAACUGACGCUGAGGCACGAAAGCUAGGGGAGCAAACAGGAUUAGAUACCCGUGUAGUCCCUGUCUCUUAUAC